rnacentral:rRNA from 1 species
UACGAAGGGGGCUAGCGUUGCUCGGAAUCACUGGGCGUAAAGCGCACGUAGGCGGAUUUGUCAGUCAGGGGUGAAAUCCUGGAGCUCAACUCCAGAACGGCCUCUGAUACAGCAAGUCUCGAGUCCGGGAGAGGUGAGUGGAACUGCGAGUGUAGAGGUGAAAUUCGUAGAUAUUCGCAAGAACACCAGUGGCGAAGGCGGCUCACUGGCCCGGUACUGACGCUGAGGUGCGAAAGCGUGGGGAGCAAAC